rnacentral:rRNA from 1 species
UACGUAGGGGGCAAGCGUUGUCCGGAUUUAUUGGGCGUAAAGAGCGUGUAGGCGGCCAAGCAGGUCAGCUGUGAAAACUCGAGGCUCAACCUCGAGACGUCGGUUGAAACCGCUUGGCUAGAGUCCGGAAGAGGAGACUGGAAUUCCUGGUGUAGCGGUGAAAUGCGCAGAUAUCAGGAGGAACACCGAUGGCGAAGGCAGGUCUCUGGGCAUUAACUGACGCUGAGGAGCGAAAGCAUGGGGAGCGAACAGG